GGGCGCUUAGCUCAGCUGGUAGAGCGUCUGCUUUACACGCAGAAUGUCGGGAGUUCGAGUCUCUCAGCGCCCA
rnacentral:tRNA from 1 species